CUCAGUUCGUUUCGUACGAAGAGUUAUGUCAGCAGUUUUUUACAGUUUUACCGGGAGUGAUUAUUGCAGCCGUACCAGUUAUCCCGGUGACGUCAGCUGGCACUCAACGUCGCUAAAUACGACGGGACCUAUCGUCAGAAAUCCCAGACAAACAACACUGCAUUAACCAACUGGACGGUCUGGAAGCCAUAGGCCUGGAACGAACCACACACGUAGCAAACGUGAGUCAAGGUCGAGAGUAUGAUCCUGGAAAACAGUACUUCGAGCGAGGUCAAAUAAUAAUAGAAGCGAUUCGUAAAUGAACUCAACAAUUUAGAAUAAGAGGGAGAAGAAGAAAAAGAAGAAAAAAAAUACAAGAUGGCGACAUAGAAGCAGCAAAACAGCAGAAAUAGAGAGAGAAAAUUUAUGGAAAAAUGAAGAAUUGCAAGAAAACUUUUUUGGAUACGAAGAUAGUUGUUGUAUUAGGCAUUUUUGAGUGAACUGUGUUUGUGGAAUGUCUCAGUCUUAAGCAGAGAUAAUCAAAAAGGAUAUCAAAAGAGUUCUGGAUGGAAAUUCCUCGUAUAAUUCAGUGUUAUCCAUGAUGUAAUUAAAUAUAUACAGAACAUAUACAUUUCUGGAAAACGAAAAUUAACAGAAAAUGUAAAAGAGAUAAAAAAAGUUACUGGUAAAAAUCGUAGAUAUUUCAAAAUGAUGAAGCUCUCAUUAACUAAAACUUUACUUCAGUUUACGAAUCAUUAAAGAUACCAUCGAUUUAAUCUGAAAAUUUUGUAAGAAAAAGGAAAAAAACGAAACAAAAUUACAUCAUAUCAAAAAUGUUACAGAUUUUACGUGUUACGUUUAUUAUUCACCUUGUAAUCAAAUCUAUGAGACUUAGUUUAGGAAUGUGAGAGAGAUAUAUUAUAUGUGACUGUUCAGUAUUUUCAAAGAAACCGAUUCUAGUCCGAGUUAUGUUUCAUUAGAGGUUUAAAAAAAGAGAAGAGGGGUUUCUAUUAGAGGGGCGAACGUUCGUGCGUAUAAUAAUGAGCCUGGCGGCUGGGCGUGGCGGUUGAUAAUUGUAUUUUUAUAAUUUAUAUCAUUUUAUAAUAAAGAAAUGUUACUGUAUUA